UUGAACACUGGAUGACUGACAGCUGUCCUUCAUCACAGCAGAAGACACAUAAAUCCUCCUCAUCAUCAGAAACAUGACUUUGAUCUGCGUCCUCAUCUGGACUCUCCUCUGCUGCUGCUUCACAGAGGUCAGAGGUCAGAUCACAGUGACUCAGCAGCCUGCAGCAGUGAGAGCUGAUCUGGGAGGACCUGUCAACAUCAACUGUAGAACCAGUCAGGAUGUUUAUUAUUCCAGUGGUUGUUCCUGUUAUCGUUUUGCCUGGUACCAACAGAAAGAUGGACAAACCCCUAAGCUGCUCAUUUAUAAUGUUAACACUCGAGCAUCAGGGACUCCAAGUCGUUUUUCAGCCAGAGGAUCAAACUCUGACUUCACUCUGACCAUCAGUGGAGUUCAGGCUGAAGAUGCUGCAGUUUAUUACUGCCAGAGUCUUCAUUACCCCAACAGCCAGUGGGUGUUCACACAGUGAAAAACAGUCAUACAAAAACCUCCCUCAGUCAGAAUGAACUGAAACUGAACUGCAGCUGCAGAGACUGAUUGUGUUACCUCAAGAAAUAAAAGCCAUGCUAAACUAAAAUAAACACUGUAGG